rnacentral:lncRNA from 1 species
CAGGGGAUGGGGCAUCAGGGUGCUGGAUGAGAAUCUGGCUCUGCUCUGGGCGGGCUGUCACCAUGGUGCUGGCAGUACCCACCACCAUUCCACAACCACCAUUGAUUGAGGAGACUUGGUGCUGGUUAUACAGACUACUGACUUCGUGAAAAUUCAAUUAUUAAACUAAUACUCCCCUGGAAGAACAAGAGGACUAAUUUUCGGUGACGACAGACUUGUGCUGAUCCAUCAUCUGGAACUCCUAAAGACCUGAAUGGCUGACUGGGAUUAGUGACUACUAUCUGGUUUUACUGGUUUUACUCUACUAAGCCCAUGAUUUUGUGUUUUAACCAAUUAAGAAAAUUAUCCCAAAGCACAAUAAAAAUAGCCUAGGUCUGAAUACCACCAGUUUUUUGGCAACAGUCCUGCUUCUUGCCUUUUUCUCAUCCUCAUCUGCAGCUUUCUUGAAUUCAUGUUCAAAGGAGCUAGCUAGUUCAUUGAAGAGUCCCACCUCCUCACAGUUC